rnacentral:rRNA from 1 species
GGUUGUCGUCAGCUCGUGUCGUGAGAUGUUGGGUUAAGUCCCGCAACGAGCGCAACCCCUACGUUUAGUUGCUAACGCGUGAAGGCGAGCACUCUAGACGAACUGCCGUUGACAAAACGGAGGAAGGUGGGAUGACGUCAAAUCAUCAUGCCCCUUAUGUUCUGGGCUACGCACGUGCUACAAUGGCCGGUACAGACGGACGCAAAGCCGCGAGGUGGAGCAAAUCCUAAAAAGCCGGUCUCAGUUCGGAUUGCAGGCUGCAAUUCGCCUGCAUGAAGUCGGAAUCGCUAGUAAUCGCAGGUCAGCAUACUGCGGUCGAAUACGUUCCCGGGCCUU